rnacentral:tRNA from 1 species
AUCUUUGUAGCUUAAAUAGAGCAAUUUACUGAAGAUAAAGAAGACUAACCAU